rnacentral:rRNA from 1 species
UUAAGUUAUUAAGGGCGCACGGUGGAUGCCUUGGCACUAGAAGCCGAUGAAGGACGUUACUAACGACGAUAUGCUUUGGGGAGCUGUAAGUAAGCUUUGAUCCAGAGAUUUCCGAAUGGGGAAACCCAGCAUGAGUUAUGUCAUGUUAUCGAUAUGUGAAUACAUAGCAUAUCAGAAGGCACACCCGGAGAACUGAAACAUCUUAGUACCCGGAGGAAGAGAAAGAAAAUUCGAUUCCCUUAGUAGCGGCGAGCGAAACGGGAAGAGCCCAAACCAACAAGCUUGCUUGUUGGGGUUGUAGGACACUCUAUACGGAGUUACAAAGGACGACAUUAGACGAAUCAUCUGGAAAGAUGAAUCAAAGAAGGUAAUAAUCCUGUAGUCGAAAAUGUUGUCUCUCUUGAGUGGAUCCUGAGUACGACGGAGCACGUGAAAUUCCGUCGGAAUCUGGGAGGACCAUCUCCUAAGGCUAAAUACUCUCUAGUGACCGAUAGUGAACCAGUACCGUGAGGGAAAGGUGAAAAGCACCCCGGAAGGGGAGUGAAAUAGAACCUGAAACCGUGUGCUUACAAGUAGUCAGAGCCCGUUAAUGGGUGAUGGCGUGCCUUUUGUAGAAUGAACCGGCGAGUUACGAUUUGAUGCAAGGUUAAGCAGUAAAUGUGGAGCCGUAGCGAAAGCGAGUCUGAAUAGGGCGUUUAGUAUUUGGUCGUAGACCCGAAACCAGGUGAUCUACCCUUGGUCAGGUUGAAGUUCAGGUAACACUGAAUGGAGGACCGAACCGACUUACGUUGAAAAGUGAGCGGAUGAACUGAGGGUAGCGGAGAAAUUCCAAUCGAACCUGGAGAUAGCUGGUUCUCUCCGAAAUAGCUUUAGGGCUAGCCUCAAGUGAUGAUUAUUGGAGGUAGAGCACUGUUUGGACGAGGGGCCCCUCUCGGGUUACCGAAUUCAGACAAACUCCGAAUGCCAAUUAAUUUAACUUGGGAGUCAGAACAUGGGUGAUAAGGUCCGUGUUCGAAAGGGAAACAGCCCAGACCACCAGCUAAGGUCCCAAAAUAUAUGUUAAGUGGAAAAGGAUGUGGCGUUGCCCAGACAACUAGGAUGUUGGCUUAGAAGCAGCCAUCAUUUAAAGAGUGCGUAAUAGCUCACUAGUCGAGUGACACUGCGCCGAAAAUGUACCGGGGCUAAACAUAUUACCGAAGCUGUGGAUUGUCCUUUGGACAAUGGUAGGAGAGCGUUCUAAGGGCGUUGAAGCAUGAUCGUAAGGACAUGUGGAGCGCUUAGAAGUGAGAAUGCCGGUGUGAGUAGCGAAAGACGGGUGAGAAUCCCGUCCACCGAUUGACUAAGGUUUCCAGAGGAAGGCUCGUCCGCUCUGGGUUAGUCGGGUCCUAAGCUGAGGCCGACAGGCGUAGGCGAUGGAUAACAGGUUGAUAUUCCUGUACCACCUAUAAUCGUUUUAAUCGAUGGGGGGACGCAGUAGGAUAGGCGAAGCGUGCGAUUGGAUUGCACGUCUAAGCAGUAAGGCUGAGUAUUAGGCAAAUCCGGUACUCGUUAAGGCUGAGCUGUGAUGGGGAGAAGACAUUGAGUCUUCGAGUCGUUGAUUUCACACUGCCGAGAAAAGCCUCUAGAUAGAAAAUAGGUGCCCGUACCGCAAACCGACACAGGUAGUCAAGAUGAGAAUUCUAAGGUGAGCGAGCGAACUCUCGUUAAGGAACUCGGCAAAAUGACCCCGUAACUUCGGGAGAAGGGGUGCUCUUUAGGGUUAACGCCCAGAAGAGCCGCAGUGAAUAGGCCCAAGCGACUGUUUAUCAAAAACACAGGUCUCUGCUAAACCGUAAGGUGAUGUAUAGGGGCUGACGCCUGCCCGGUGCUGGAAGGUUAAGAGGAGUGGUUAGCUUCUGCGAAGCUACGAAUCGAAGCCCCAGUAAACGGCGGCCGUAACUAUAACGGUCCUAAGGUAGCGAAAUUCCUUGUCGGGUAAGUUCCGACCCGCACGAAAGGCGUAACGAUUUGGGCACUGUCUCAACGAGAGACUCGGUGAAAUCAUAGUACCUGUGAAGAUGCAGGUUACCCGCGACAGGACGGAAAGACCCCGUGGAGCUUUACUGUAGCCUGAUAUUGAAAUUCGGCACAGCUUGUACAGGAUAGGUAGGAGCCUUUGAAACGUGAGCGCUAGCUUACGUGGAGGCGCUGGUGGGAUACUACCCUAGCUGUGUUGGCUUUCUAACCCGCACCACUUAUCGUGGUGGGAGACAGUGUCAAGCGGGCAGUUUGACUGGGGCGGUCGCCUCCUAAAAGGUAACGGAGGCGCUCAAAGGUUCCCUCAGAAUGGUUGGAAAUCAUUCAUAGAGUGUAAAGGCAUAAGGGAGCUUGACUGCGAGACCUACAAGUCGAGCAGGGUCGAAAGACGGACUUAGUGAUCCGGUGGUUCCGCAUGGAAGGGCCAUCGCUCAACGGAUAAAAGCUACCCCGGGGAUAACAGGCUUAUCUCCCCCAAGAGUUCACAUCGACGGGGAGGUUUGGCACCUCGAUGUCGGCUCAUCGCAUCCUGGGGCUGUAGUCGGUCCCAAGGGUUGGGCUGUUCGCCCAUUAAAGCGGUACGCGAGCUGGGUUCAGAACGUCGUGAGACAGUUCGGUCUCUAUCCGUCGUGGGCGUAGGAAAUUUGAGAGGAGCUGUCCUUAGUACGAGAGGACCGGGAUGGACAUACCUCUGGUGUACCAGUUGUCGUGCCAACGGCAUAGCUGGGUAGCUAUGUGUGGACGGGAUAAGUGCUGAAAGCAUCUAAGCAUGAAGCCCCCCUCAAGAUGAGAUUUCCCAACUUCGGUUAUAAGAUCCCUCAAAGAUGAUGAGGUUAAUAGGUUCGAGGUGGAAGCAUGGUGACAUGUGGAGCUGACGAAUACUAAUCGAUCGAAGACUUAAUCAA